UAAUCCUUUUCCUUCUAGGCACAUUGGUAGGAGGAAGAAAUCUAGUCACUUGCUUUAGUAGCUAAACUUAACAGCCUUGUUUCUCAUGCAACUAAUGGGAUUAAACGGAAAUCUGAAUGGGUCAUCUAUGGUUCAGCAUCCAAAACCAAGAGCUCUCCAUUACUUGUGCGCACCUAUAGAGGAAGGAAGCUGAUCCUUUCUUUCAAAUUAAAAACCCUAUACCAACCUUCUCAUCUCAUUCUCUCAAGACCGUUGCUACCUAUCAAGGAAAACAAACCAUAGUGCAUCUCUUCCUCAUUGCCUCCACAAGCCGUGAACACCAUAGAGUGGUAAACCUCAAGAAAAAUUACACACUAUCCCCUCAUCCUAGCAAGAAACCAUGAGCUCCAUGAACAAAUAUCACAACCCUUAAGGAUCAUUUUCCUCUCCCUUCUCUGUUUAAGGCCGCCAAACCACAAACAUCAAGGAGCUGCAAAUAUGAGUUCUUGGAGAGUGGAUAGUUCCCCUGCAUGCAGUCUUUUAGCGUGGUACUUGAAGGGUAGAAGGGUGAAGAUCUUAGCAUCAACUUAGUGGCUGCAACCUUAGCUGAAUUGGGAGUAUUUUGUGUUACUACAAGAGGUGCGCAUAAACAUUGAGACUUUGGAUUAUUUCGGUGGCUGCCUGGUAAAUUAAUUGUGACGCGCGAGGAGGACGAAAGAGCAUAUGAGGACAUGGAUUAUUUGGAUAUUUACUGUUAAUUGCUGCUGUUUGGACUUGCUGUUAUUUUGUCUGUUGGAUGACGUUGGAUGACUGUACUAUUUUAAUGUGGAGAACCUUAGACUACUGUUGGAACCAUGAUUUUAUUACUGUUGUGAGACUUUUAUGAUUAUCUAUUACU